UGAGUCUGCACAAUUCACCAGGUGGCAUUC
rnacentral:piRNA from 1 species